GGGAAUCAUCCCUUCAAAGGAUCGAUAGGGAAGCGGCUUCAGUAAGAGGAUAGAAUCGAUUGCGUUGGGAAAGGUUUAUCGAAGGAACGUCCAACUGUUCAUACGGAUCAUGGGUCAAAGUUGAAUUUUUGCUCUAAUGAGGGAACAUUCCUUCGUAGAAAAAUUAGGGACGAUAAGGAAAACCUUAGGGCGAUUAAUAGUGAUUCCGAAAAAGAAGUUCUGCGAAUCAAUAUUGAAGAAGAAGAAGAAGAGGAUGAAGAUGAAGAAGGAGAUACAGGGGAUGAAGUAGUAGAGGUAUGUUUUAAUAGGAA